ensembl:lncRNA
GAGCCAGGCAGGGGCGAGGAGGGUUGACAGGGCUUCCCAAAGCGCCAGGCAGGGGCGAGGAGGGUUGACAGGGCUUCCCAAAGAGCCAGGCAAGGGCGAGGUGGGUAGACAGGGUUUCCCCAGAGAGCUAGACAGGGGCUAGGUGGGGAUUGUGACUGUGGAAUUGGACUAAACUUCAGGGGCUGAUUGGGUUAUUUUGGGGGAAGGUGUAUCUACUUAGUGGGAUGACACGGGGUUUCCCAUGCAAGACCCCUCCUGCCUCUGGAUAGCUUUCUGGUAGGCCCUAGGCACACGGGGUUUACUAAGUGCCCCUGUCUCCAGGCAGUCUGAAGGGUGGGGGGCCGGAAGGAGGGGGGCAGCACCUCUUGGCCCCGCCUCCUCCGCUGCUUUCCCCAGCCUCGUGACACUUUCUGCGUGUGCUGCUGAGUGGAGAGGCAGAUGUGCUCUUGGGUCCUCGGACUUGGGCCUGACCAGGUUGCCGGGGCCUUGCUUUGUCCUUGGGCCUUCGAGGCCUCUCUCCCCACACUAGUGUGUGGGUCCCUCAAGUACCUGGCCUUUCUUUCCUGCCUAGACCUUUGUGGCUGGUUGGUGUGUGGAUCCCGAAGGCUGAAGAUAUCUGUCUCAUCAACAACAUAUUGUUGGAUCCUGGUUUCUAAUCCAUUCUGCUCUCCACUUUCUUUUUAUGGAGAAAAUCUUUGUGAUGCCUGGAAUCCUCUUCCUCAAUCAACUGUAACUGCUAUAUCUUUGAGGCCCAAGACCAUGAAAGCAUCCCACAGAAUCUGCUUCAGCCUUAUUGUCCUGAAGAUUUUCUUAGUCCUAUCCUCAGAGAUCAAGAAUCAAGCACUGGAGAAUGAAACCAUUUUAUUGUGAAUGCCAUGAGCCCUGCGACUUCAGAGAGCACAUUUCGAGGAUCAUUUGUGAGAAAAGCUGUCAUGGAAAAGCUUUGAUUCAACUAAGCCCCUGACGGUGAACCUAUGGCACACAGAGACCUCUCUGUGGGCAUUUAGUUACCGGAAAGGCAGAGGUACUGGGGGGUGGGGGUGGGGGUGGGGGAGCGGCUCCUUUCCUCCUUUCCAACAUGCCUCUGCCCAGCAGUGCAAUGGAAGCACUUAUUCCCUUUUCUGAGCAGAGCCUUCCAGCCACUCCCUUCCUUUUUCUCCCUCCCUGAUCCCUAGAUAAGGUGGAGGACAGAAAGCAGUCUCUAAAAGUUCAUCAUCACUGAACUAAGCCAGUGGGUGUUUCUCAGGGGUCUGGCCAGGCCAGGCCCAGCCUUGUAGGUUAAUCCCUAGCCCCUUCUACAUUAAGCUUAUGGAUAGCCUUACCCCUGAUGGGACUACUAAAGUUGUUUGGAGAGGUCAGAAAAUUUCUUCUGGUGGAGCCUUGGCACUGUUUGGAUUCUUAAAAAAACAGUCUUGCCUUCCCUUUGGGGAGGGAGCAAGAUUUUUGCUGCUAAGGAGAAAGCUGCAGCCCGAGCAGACAACAGUGAUAACCCUUGAUGGUCCUGCUAAAACUAGGAAAAGAUAAGUAACUUAAGUAACUGGUGGAGACUUGGAACUGCCUGGAUUCUCAUGGCCACACAUUUUUAAACAGUCUUACCUUCCCUGGGGGGGGGGGCAAGCUUUUUGCUGCUGAGGAGAAAGCUGUGGCACGAGCAGACAACAGUGAUAACUCUUGAUGGUCCUACUAAAACGAGGGAAGCUAAAAAAAUGAGAAAUGGCACACGUAUUUUAUAAAACUUGCUCUGGGGUAGGGAGUAAGUAGUGUGGCUAUCUUGGCUGCUUUGGACCGGGGGGGGGGGGCAGCUGAAAGCCCUCUAGGAGGAAGCUGGCAUCUUUGCCUAAAAAAACUUGUGGACAAACUCCAGUUGCUCAGCAACCCCACACAUGAAGAGAAAGAAAGACCCCAUUAGCCUUCCUUUAACCGAAAGCCUGUCGGGAGCAGAGCAUGGCAGUCUGUCCCCAACAUGCUCCCAAGAUGUAACUAGACCUAGAAUCAACUUCUAUACACUUGUAUUUAGUUAAAGAACCUUUCUUCUGUAUUCAGGUGAGCCCCAUCUGGAGAGAGCUUUGGUUUAACUAUUCUAAAAUUCUGUGAUGCUACAACAAUUUUUAAAAAUUGUUAUAGAGCUCAUUUAAAAAUACAUUAUAGGGGCAGGUGGGUGGCUCAGUGGAUUGAGAGUCAGGCCUAGAGACAGGAGGUCCUGCGUUCAAAUCUGGCCUCAGACACUUCCCAGCUGUGAGACCCUGGACAAGUCACUUGACCCCCAUUGCCCAGCCCUUACUGCUCUUCUGCCUUGGAACCAAUACACAGUAUUGACUCCAAGACUGAAGGUGGGGGUUUAAAAGAAUACAUUUUAUGCUUAAUAAUCACCAAUAAAAAUUUUAAAUGAACAAACGCA